GUGGCUAUAGCUCAGUUGGUAGAGCCCCGGAUUGUGAUUCCGGUUGUCGAGGGUUCAAGUCCCUUUAGCCACC
rfam:Colwellia psychrerythraea 34H, complete genome.